CCCUCCCGGUGCCGUCCCCGUUCAGAUGUGUCUGCAGUGGCACAGAGCCAGAAGAAAAGCCGCCAUACUGGAUCAAGACCAUAUUUGUUGCACAGUGUUCUAACAUCGACACAACUACAUUGGUGGUUACAGAAGUUGAAAUUAUCCAGACUAAUUCAAGUCGUUCGGCCCGUGGGGAUCCAUUUUGAGCAAAGGCUGGUCUGUCGAACCUGGACGGAUUCUACAAAAGGCCUGCCCCUGCUGCACGCUGAUUGGUUGGACGAGACAGGCCGGAGAGAAUCUGAUUGGACGGUACUGAGUUGACCUGUGGUGUUACCAUAAUGCGUAACAAUAAAGACGGCUGACCCAGGCAGGCUCACAAACCUCUUCCUCGUCUUG